rnacentral:rRNA from 1 species
AUUGAACGCUGGCGGCAUGCCUUACACAUGCAAGUCGAACGGUAACGGGUCCUUCGGGAUGCCGACGAGUGGCGAACGGGUGAGUAAUAUAUCGGAACGUGCCCAGUAGUGGGGGAUAACUGCUCGAAAGAGCAGCUAAUACCGCAUACGACCUGAGGGUGAAAGGGGGGGAUCGCAAGACCUCUCGCUAUUGGAGCGGCCGAUAUCAGAUUAGCUAGUUGGUGGGGUAAAGGCCUACCAAGGCAACGAUCUGUAGUUGGUCUGAGAGGACGACCAGCCACACUGGGACUGAGACACGGCCCAGACUCCUACGGGAGGCAGCAGUGGGGAAUUUUGGACAAUGGGCGCAAGCCUGAUCCAGCAAUGCCGCGUGCAGGAAGAAGGCCUUCGGGUUGUAAACUGCUUUUGUCAGGGAAGAAAUCUUCUGGGCUAAUACCCCGGGAGGAUGACGGUACCUGAAGAAUAAGCACCGGCUAACUACGUGCCAGCAGCCGCGGUAAUACGUAGGGUGCGAGCGUUAAUCGGAAUUACUGGGCGUAAAGCGUGCGCAGGCGGCUUUGCAAGACAGAUGUGAAAUCCCCGGGCUCAACCUGGGAACUGCAUUUGUGACUGCAAGGCUAGAGUACGGCAGAGGGGGAUGGAAUUCCGCGUGUAGCAGUGAAAUGCGUAGAUAUGCGGAGGAACACCAAUGGCGAAGGCAAUCCCCUGGGCCUGUACUGACGCUCAUGCACGAAAGCGUGGGGAGCAAACAGGAUUAGAUACCCUGGUAGUCCACGCCCUAAACGAUGUCAACUGGUUGUUGGACGGCUUGCUGUUCAGUAACGAAGCUAACGCGUGAAGUUGACCGCCUGGGGAGUACGGCCGCAAGGUUGGAACUCAAAGGAAUUGACGGGGACCCGCACAAGCGGUGGAUGAUGUGGUUUAAUUCGAUGCAACGCGAAAAACCUUACCUACCCUUGACAUGUCAAGAAUUCUGCAGAGAUGUGGAAGUGCUCGAAAGAGAACUUGAACACAGGUGCUGCAUGGCCGUCGUCAGCUCGUGUCGUGAGAUGUUGGGUUAAGUCCCGCAACGAGCGCAACCCUUGUCAUUAGUUGCUACGCAAGAGCACUCUAAUGAGACUGCCGGUGACAAACCGGAGGAAGGUGGGGAUGACGUCAGGUCCUCAUGGCCCUUAUGGGUAGGGCUACACACGUCAUACAAUGGCCGGUACAGAGGGCUGCCAACCCGCGAGGGGGAGCCAAUCCCAGAAAACCGGUCGUAGUCCGGAUCGUAGUCUGCAACUCGACUGCGUGAAGUCGGAAUCGCUAGUAAUCGCGGAUCAGCUUGCCGCGGUGAAUACGUUCCCGGGUCU